rnacentral:lncRNA from 1 species
GAGAUGCAAAUGCCCCACCUAAAUAUUUGAAGAGAAGCCAGAGAGCGCCGAGGAUAGAUUCCCUCUUUAGCAGCCCUGGCUGGAGAUCAUCACUACAGGGUGCUCUCUGGGCUGGCCUCCCCUCGUGUCAUCUGGGGUUUGCUACAGAGCAGGAGAGGAAAUGGACAGGAUUCAGAUUUUUGUCUUGGGACUCCAUCUCCUCCGAAGCCAACACGAAGGCAUGCACUCCAUCGCUCCGUGCUGCUAAAAUUGAAGCUUUUCCAUUGAAAUGAGUGAGAAAUCCUAAACACAGCACCCAAUUCUCAAAAGAAACAUGUCUCACCAAGGCUCCGUCGGCUGUGUGGCCUGCACACGCUCAAGAACACCUCGAGAACUGAAAGAAUAGAAGGAACACCCAUGUGUGGAGCCUGAGUUGGGUGAAGGUGAUGCUUUUAACUCAGUUCUUCCAAGGAAAGGCAAAGGUCCUGGAACAUCAGAGCUCACGGAGCAGACCCUGAGGUCAGGGCAUGGAGACAGAGGGUGAGGCACAGCAGGAGAGUGAACAUGACUGUGAGUGGCGUGUGAGUGACUGGAUGCCGGGGUGCAUCAUGAGAAAGCCGUGGAAACAGCUGCGAAGCCCUCAAAUCAGAUAUGCCUGCACCUUCCUGGCUCUCUUCACAGGACCCAUUCCUGAGGACUAGAAGCUCCUAUCCACACUGCACUGGACUAUGACUCUCCACCACAAGGCUCAGCAGUUGGCCACAUACAUCGUGGAUCAGAAAGGAAGUCUUGGGAAAAAAAAAAACCCAAGGUUUGAAAAUAUGCAGUCAACAAUGAAUUUAGAAAUAAAAGUUCAAAGCCAGCUAAAAUGUCCCCGUACAUUUGGAAACCAAAUAACACCGUUAAAUAAUUCAUGGGUCUGGAAGAGAUUGUGAUGGAGAUUAUGAACGUUGAGAACUGAGUCACAAUGAAAGAACUAUGCAAAACAACCGCAGACGGGCAUCUUACAGGGAAUUUAGCAAGGAAUAUGCAUGGGUCUUAGGGAGUGAGACCAUUUAAAACCAGUCAGCUAAGAGUUUAGGAAGUUACAGGGCUAAGUAUACAAUAAAAUAAUAAUAAUAAAAGCUAGCAUUAUAUAAAUGAUAAGUAAAAAUUAAAAUAUAGAAACAAAACAAAAGUGUAUUCCUUGCAAAGGACUAACUUUAAAAACAAACUUCUUUCUUCUUGGUAGAGCACAUUAGAAAUUAGUUAUCAAUAAGCAAAAAUGAAUGACCCAGGACUGACAUACUUGAAAUAGUAUAUAUGAUUGACAAUCUUCUUUUAAAAACUCAAAUCCUGAAGCUUCUACGUCAACUGCUCUAUUCCAAGAACUAGAAGAAAAUGAAAAACCGUCCCCAUCAUAAACUAA